rnacentral:rRNA from 1 species
AUUGAACGCUGGCGGCAGGCCUAACACAUGCAAGUCGAACGAGUGGCGGACGGGUGAGUAAUGUCUGGGAAACUGCCCGAUGGAGGGGGAUAACUACGGGAAACGGUAGCUAAUACCGCAUACCAUCGGAUGUGCCCAGAGGGGAUUAGCUAGUAGGUGGGGUAACGGCUCACCUAGGCGACGAUCCCUAGCUGGUCUGAGAGGAUGACCAGCCACACUGUGACUGAGACACGGUCCAGACUCCUACGGCAGGCAGCAGUGGGGAAUAUUGCACAAUGGGCUCAAGCCUGAGGCAGCCAUGCCGCUUGUAUGAAGAAGGCCUUCGGGUUGUAAAGUACUUUCAGCGAGGAGGCGUUACUCGCAGAAGAAGCACCGUCUAACUCCGUGCCAGCAGCCGCGGUAAUUC